CUUAGUGUGGCAGAAAUAAUGCAAUGAAUUUAAGCUUCAUUUAUAAAGACUCCUCUUUCAUUAAGA
rnacentral:tRNA from 1 species